GAAAGCCUUACUUUUCAUGUUUAAAGCACUACUUUCAACGCCCUCAGCAUGUAAAAUCCAUUACCAUAGCUGGGUAUAAAAACGAAGUCUCCUUUUCGUGUGCUUAUUGACCUCGGCUACGCCUCGUAGAAACAGAAUUCACACGAAAGCUCUACUUUUCAUCUUUUUAUUCCUAAAUAUUUAAAACAAUAUU